CAACUUAUACGACUCCGGGCUUUCAUAGGGACAGGGCGGCUUCAGAGCUGAUGUGGUUUUGAGCUUCGACUACAAUGACAGGAGUGGUGUUUGGAUGAGCACGUGCGGGAAAACGUCCCUGAAGCUUUCAUUACUAAAAGGACUUACACUGUGGGGCAGCUGAAUUUUAUUCUGAUACAAGAAGACAAUACACCUGCUUCUAUCUCAUUAAGAUCUCUACACUUGACAAGAGAAGAAUUGGCUUGAUUUACAAAAGGAGUGUUUUGAGACUGAAGAGAUUCUAUUGGACAUUGAACAGAAAUGCCUGAUUCACCUCAGACAUGUAUAACGGUGGCUGAAGAGGUGCCACUGAAUCUCAUCGCAGGGUCAGGCAACACACAAAAUAAUGACAAUAAUACCCAUGAAGCAAGCAGCAGCACUGGACAGCGCACUGCCUCCUUCUGUGACGACACACACCACAGGAAACUCGCCAUCUGCAGCAUCAUCUGUGGGAUCUCCUGCAUCGGGAUCAUGGCUCUUAUAAACUCAGUGAAGGCCGAGAAGACAAAAGACCCCGAGGUGGCUGCAGAGCAUUCACGAAAGGCGAAGAAGUUUGGCAUCAUCUCCAUCAUUACAUGGGUUUCCAUUCUGGCUUUAACUCCCAUUCUGAUGGCACUGAUCUCAUAUCUCCUCUCUCUGCAAGACUGAUCACCUGUGAUCAACCUCUGCAGAGGAUGAGGAGUGGGAUUGACUGUGCAGAGACACUGACUGCUGACAGGACUUCCUUCUGAAAGCCACAAAGACAUGAAGAAACUGGCACUUACAAGAAGCAGAAAAACACUGCCCAGUUUACACUUUUCUACUCCACUUUCUUUCUAUUUUUUUUUUUUUUACAUAUAAAAUAGUAGUAAAACCAUUGACAUGUUUUUUUAGAUGCUGUAAUAUUUAUUUAACAAUGUAUAAACAUAUGGACAAUGCAAAAAAUGAGUAUAUAAAAUCCAGCAUUAGCUAAAGUAUGAGACAUGACACUACAGGACAUUUACAUGUUAUAUUAAAGAGUAAUACUAUUACUCCCCAGUAAUGACCGUCUCAUCCAUAUGUUUGCACCUUAAAAUACAAAAGUUGCUAAAUAAGUGAAUCUGUCAAUAUACAGAGUAUCAACAUAAACGUGAUCAUGGAGGAUUGGGUCAUUACUGGGAACAAAACGGCAAGGCAGUGCUCCAUCAUAACAUCAUGAGGUCUUGCUCUGGUUUCCAAACUGUUCUUGGCAUUAUUGCAUUGUUACCAUGUUCAUUUUAUAAGUGUCAGAUGUAUUCAUAUGUUGUACUUUUAUACAAACAUAAAAUAACAAUUUUAUAACAAAAAAAA